GAUGAACGCUAGCUACAGGCUUAACACAUGCAAGUCGAGGGGCAGCAUGGUCUUAGCUUGCUAAGGCCGAUGGCGACCGGCGCACGGGUGAGUAACACGUAUCCAACCUGCCGUCUACUCUUGGACAGCCUUCUGAAAGGAAGAUUAAUACAAGAUGGCAUCAUGAGUCCGCAUGUUCACAUGAUUAAAGGUAUUCCGGUAGACGAUGGGGAUGCGUUCCAUUAGAUAGUAGGCGGGGUAACGGCCCACCUAGUCUUCGAUGGGUAGGGGUUCUGAGAGGAAGGUCCCCCACAUUGGAACUGAGACACGGUCCAAACUCCUACGGGAGGCAGCAGUGAGGAAUAUUGGUCAAUGGGCGAGAGCCUGAACCAGCCAAGUAGCGUGAAGGAUGACUGCCCUAUGGGUUGUAAACUUCUUUUAUAAAGGAAUAAAGUCGGGUAUGGAUACCCGUUUGCAUGUACUUGAUGAAUAAGGAUCGGCUAACUCCGUG
rnacentral:rRNA from 1 species